CGAAGGUAGAGAUGUGAUCAUGGACGGGACUCUUGGAUGGGAGCCAUAUGUGGACCAGACGAUUGAGAUGGCAAGAAAUGUUCAUAAGCAUCGGUAUCGAAUGGGGGUUGGAUACAAAGUCGCCGAAGAUGGGACCGUCAGUGAAAAUUACUGGGAACAACUCAGUCCAGAAGAAGAACAACAAUAUGAUUUUGAUGGAAUCGUACAGAAAGAUCGAAAGCCGUAUAGAAUUGAAUUGGUUGGUGUUGUUUGUGACCCACAUUUGGCUGUUAUUAGAGGCAUAAGGAGAGCAUUGAUGGUUGGAAGGGCAGUGAGGGUGAACUCACAAUUGAAGUCCCAUAAAAGAUUUGCAAAAGCUUUUCCCAGAUACUGUGAACUUGUUGAUAAUGCCAGGCUCUAUUCCACCAAUGUAUUGGGCAGAUCACCAAAGUUGAUUGGGUGGAAAGAUGGAGAUAACAAGUUCCUUGUAGAUCCAGAAGAAAUCAAAUGUGUUUCAGUGAUAAGUAACUUGAAGGAGAAUGCAAAUUCAGUAUAUGAACUUUACCAAGAUGCAAGCAUUUUAAAUGAGAAAGGUUGUUUAUGGAAAGAAACUGUUAUGUCACCUUCAAGGGCCUCUGUUCAAAUGGAGUUGAAGGCUUCCAUACAAAGCAUUGAAUCAAAAUAGCAAUGGAAUGCUUUCUUUUAACAUUUCUAUUUGGUUUUAGAGGUACGAGAGAUGACUUUUCAAUAGGUGGUGUAUGUAUUUAACUAAAACUAUCGUCUUUAUUUGUUGGAAAGGACUCGUGUUGAUGUGUGGAGAUAAUUUCUGACUCCAUCAAGUAGUUUGAGUGCAAAAGAUGGAGAAGAUGAUAGGGCCAUCAAGUGUCGAUUUUCUAAUUUCAAAUAUGGAACCUAAUGUGUGUUUCUAAAGCGGUGGAAAAACAACUAUUGUUGUUAUUAAUACUUAUUGGUGAUUUGAAACUAAUUAAGG
rnacentral:misc_RNA from 1 species